AGUUUUCCAGGUUCUCACGAUUUUUACUGUUGAUGCCGAGCCCACCUCAGGAACCACAGAAUACUCUCAGUAUGUGCAUUGAAACCCAAAGUUCUUGCCCCAGACAUGCAGAACCUUAGAAAUGGAGAUGUCAUGCAAACACAUUUUAGCAGGGCUAAUUUAAAGCAGCCGUACCAGCCAUAUUCAGGAUGGAAUUGAAAUUUAAAGAAAUUUCUAAAAUUAUUUGAUGUCAAUAUUUAUGUGUUAAAAGUUUGAAUCAAUAAAAAAGUUAUUAUUAUCAAAAAAAAUAUA